CCUACGGGUGGCUGCAGUGAGGAAUUUUGCGCAAUGGCCGCAAGGCUGACGCAGCAACGCCGCGUGGGUGAUGAAGGCCUUCGGGUCGUAAAGCCCUGUCAGGUGGGAAGAAAGGCCUUGAUAAGAAACGGUUGAGGUUUGACGGUACCACCAGAGGAAGCACCGGCUAACUCCGUGCCAGCAGCCGCGGUAAUACGGAAGGUGCGAGCGUAAUUCGGAAUUACUGGGCGAUGAGCGCGUGUAGGGGGAGCCCUGGGCUUAACCUGGGAAGUGCAUUUGAAACUGCAUUUCUUGAGUACUGGAGAGGAAGGGGGAAUUCCCGGUGUAGAGGUGAAAUUCGUAGAGAUCGGGAGGAAUACCAGUGGCGUAGGCGCCCUUCUGGACGGUAACUGACGCUGAGACGCGAAAGCGUGGGGAGCAAACAGGAUUAGAUACCCGUGUAGUC
rnacentral:rRNA from 1 species